UACAGAGGCCUCGAGCGUUGCGCGGCAUCACUGGGCUUAAAGGGUGCGUAGGCGGACAUACAAGUGCCUUGUGCAAUCCCAGAGCUCAACUCUGGAACUGCUUGGUAGACUGUGUGUCUUGAGGUCGGUAGGGGUCGCUGGAACAGUUGGUGGAGCGGUGAAAUGCGUAGAUAUCAGCUGGAACGACAAAGGUGAAGGCAAGCGACUGGGCCGAUUCUGACGCUGAGGCACGAAAGCGUGGGGAGCAAACGGG
rnacentral:rRNA from 1 species